rnacentral:rRNA from 1 species
GUCGUGCAAAUGUCUCAAGGACGACUUCCCUACGGAGCCACGCCGCGUGGAUGAUGAAGGCCGACAGGUUGUAAAGUCCUUUUGCUGGGGAAGAAUAACUGUGGGAGGGAAUGCCCGCGUGAUGACAUGAACCGGCGAAUAAGCCCCGGCCAACUUCGUGCCAGCAGCCGCGGUAAUAAA